CGGCGAAAGGCACUGGCUCUCGACCUCAAGCUGGAUUUCGCGAAGACUUUUGACUCCAUCAACUGGCAAAGCCUCCGAAAGAUCAUGGAGGUGCGAGGCUUUCCGAGGCGCUGGUGUGACUGGAUGGACGCCAUCUUCCGGUCGUCCUUGUCCUCGGUCCUCCUGAAUGGGGUGCCGGGGCGUUGGAUCUCCUGCAAGAAGGGGCUGAGGCAGGGGGAUCCCAUCUCCCCCUACCUCUUCUUGCUCGUGGCCGAUGUGCUGCAAAGGAUGAUCAAGAGCGACGGAGGGAUGGCUCACCCCCUACUGGCUGGCGGGCCCCCUCUAGUGCUCCAGUACACCGACGAUACCCUCAUCGUCCUUUGA
rnacentral:rRNA from 1 species